CAAAGGCAAUCCCAGUCUACAGCCAAACGACUUGAGGGUACCAGAUCUCAUUCGAUCUCUGAAGCUAAGCAGGGUCAGGCCUGGUUAGCACUUGGAUGGGAGACCAAAGAAAUCCAAACUUCAAACAAAGGAGAAAGUCUACCCAACAGGGUGGAGUGAAGAAGUCGCUUCAGAAAAAGCUGGGAGCUGAGCAUACACGCUUCCUUCAUGACCUGAAGCUUCUCCGCACUUGUUCAAUCACGAACUACAGGUCAUACUAUGUAACCUAGGCUAGACUGAAAGCUGCAGGGACUCUCCUGCCUCAACCUUCCAAAGACAAGGAUUAUUGGCUUGAACCACCAGGUCUGGCUCUUCAAGCCUUUGUCACACUAAAAACAAAACAAAAAAACCACAGGAUACAAAAAAAACUGCAAAGGAACUUGUCCUGGGUCCUUCGUGAACUCUACGCUUUGUAGCUCCUUACAACUUCUGAGUCCACCAGAGCCGCUUCUUUAAAUAAGGCCUGCUCCAGACGACUGACACAUGGAGAGACUGAGAGAGAAAUUUUCUCAGAAACAAAAGGCAACCAGGCAGAAGCAUCAGGAAAAAAAAGGCAUCAUUUAACCUCACAUAUUCAUCAAGGGCCAGUGCCAGCCUCUGUUCCUUCACGUGGUACAGCUCCUCCUGCGUCCUGAGUGCAUCCUGGGCCACGGAGAGAUAGUCUUUGAGCAUCUUCUCCUGCUCGCCCCGCCACUGUUUCCUCGGAUCUUCAAUCUGUGUGGUUUCUGAAAAGACAGUCUGUGUUGGAAUCUGCGAUAGGAUUUCAUCACAUUUGUGGUACUACUCGGAGGGACGGCUAGUUUGGAUUCUUGUAUCCGCUAAAGCACCUGCUGGAAACUUCUGAGAAGUGACUUGUCUAAAACUUGGAUAUGGCUGUUUUCUCUAUUUACUCUGAAACCAUCCCUGCCCCUUCAUUUACAGUCCUUGGCAACAGUGUACUGCAACUAUGAGGUCUUCACAUGGAUGCCACCCUUUUAAGAAUUCUCUGGCUCCCCAUUACUCCAAAAAAUAAAAAUCAAAUUAUCAUCAGCA